UGGGCAAUCUGCCCUUCACUCUGGGACAAGCCCUGGAAACGGGGUCUAAUACCGGAUAACACCCACUCCUGCAUAGGAGAGGGUUAAAAGCUCCGGCGGUGAAGGAUGAGCUCGCGGCCUAUCAGCUUGUUGGUGGGGUAAUGGCCCACCAAGGCAACGACGGGUAGCCGGCCUGAGAGGGUGACCGGCCACACUGGGACUGAGACACGGCCCAGACCUCCGUACGGGAGCAG
rnacentral:rRNA from 1 species